UGGACCAGCAACAUUCUCCAGAAGAGUCCCUGUUCACCUCAAACUGCUCUCCUGAAUUUCUUUUCAAAAAGGUGAGGGGCAGAGAAACAUGGAAAAGGAGAGCUGAAGCCAAGCAAUAUGGUUUUGCAGUUUAUGCAAGGGCCAAGGGCAGCUUAUCGCCUGCUCCCAGCUGAUCUCCCUCCUCUACUACUAGGGAGAUGGAGCCCUGAAGCAUUUGAGGUUUUGGGAACAGAGGUCUCUGAUGCAAUGUGUGUGAAAAGGAACAU